rnacentral:rRNA from 1 species
ACUCCUACGGGAGGCAGCAGUGGGGAAUAUUGCACAAUGGGCGCAAGCCUGAUGCAGCCAUGCCGCGUGUAUGAAGAAGGCCUUCGGGUUGUAAAGUACUUUCAGUCAGUGAGGAAGGAGUGGAGUCGUUAAUAGCGGCCUCAUUUGACGUUAGCUGCAGAAGAAGCACCGGCUAACUCCGUGCCAGCAGCCGCGGUAAUACGGAGGGUGCGAGCGUUAAUCGGAAUUACUGGGCGUAAAGCGCGUGUAGGUGGCUUGUUAAGCCAGAUGUGAAAGCCCCGGGCUCAACCUGGGAACUGCAUUUGGAACUGGCAGGCUAGAGUUUUGUAGAGGGUGGUAGAAUUUCAGGUGUAGCGGUGAAAUGCGUAGAGAUCUGAAGGAAUACCGGUGGCGAAGGCGACCACCUGGCCAAUAACUGACACUGAGACGCGAAGGCGUGGGUAGCAAACGGGAUUAGAUACCCUGGUAGCGAGUAG